rnacentral:rRNA from 1 species
CCUACGGGGAGCUGCAGUGGGGAAUAUUGGACAAUGGGCGAAAGCCUGAUCCAGCCAUGCCGCGUGUGUGAAGAAGGCCUUCGGGUUGUAAAGCACUUUCAGUGGGGAAGAAAGCCUUGGGGCUAAUACCCUCGAGGAAGGACAUCACCCACAGAAGAAGCACCGGCUAACUCCGUGCCAGCAGCCGCGGUAAUACGGAGGGUGCGAGCGUUAUUCGGAAUUACUGGGCGUAAAGCGCGCGUAGGCGGUCUGAUAAGCCGGUUGUGAAAGCCCCGGGCUCAACCUGGGAACGGCAUCCGGAACUGUCAGGCUAGAGUGCAGGAGAGGAAGGUAGAAUUCCCGGUGUAGCGGUGAAAUGCGUAGAGAUCGGGAGGAAUACCAGUGGCGAAGGCGGCCUUCUGGACUGACACUGACGCUGAGGUGCGAAAGCGUGGGUAGCAAACAGGAUUAGAUACCCCGGUAGUC